UUAAUUGAAGCCAAACCAGAGGCAUGUUAUUGUUAAUAACACUAUUGAUUCCAUAAUCCAAUUAAA
rnacentral:tRNA from 1 species